UUGAAAGGGAAACGAUUGAAGUCAGUCGUACCGACGAGUAAUCAACUUUUAUGAGCGCGAUUUUGUGGAUCAUGAUGAGCCUAACGGCCUUCUAGUUUACAAAUUUGUGUUCUUGGGGUGUACUUGCUCGUAUGGUAAGUUAACAUCAAUUUCGUUCGUUAUAAAAUGAUUGGGAAAUGUAGCUUUGAUCUCGUAUUGAAGUGUUAUAGACCCUGGUAGAUGUAAUGAUCGGGAUUGAGGAUUGCAACGGAUGCUCUUCGGGGCUAUUCGUCUGGCCUCUGUGGGUCACCUUAGUGUCGAAAGCUUGCUUAUGGCGUUAAGGAUGGUUCUCAAAAGGUUAGAACGGAUUAGAUUCGUUAAGGAUGUUGACGUAAAUCACUAGUGCACCCUAAAUAA
rnacentral:rRNA from 1 species